CUACGGGGUGCGCCAGUGAGGAAUAUUGCACAAUGGGGGGAACCCUGAUGCAGCAACGCCGCGUGGAGGAUGACGCAUUUCGGUGUGUAAACUCCUUUUAUAUGUCAAGAAAAUGACGGUAGCAUAUGAAUAAGCACCGGCUAACUCCGUGCCAGCAGCCGCGGUAAUACGGAGGGUGCAAGCGUUACUCGGAAUCACUGGGCGUAAAGGACGCGUAGGCGGGUUGGAAAGUCAGGUGUGAAAUCCUACAGCUUAACUGUAGAACUGCACUUGAAACUUAUAAUCUAGAGUAUGGGAGGGGGAGAUGGAAUUAGUGGUGUAGGGGUAAAAUCCGUAGAUAUCACUAGGAAUACCUAAAGCGAAGGCGAUCUCCUGGAACAUUACUGACGCUAAGGCGUGAAAGCGUGGGGAGCAAACAGGAUUAGAUACCCUCGUAGUC
rnacentral:rRNA from 1 species